rnacentral:rRNA from 1 species
ACCAGCGGCGAUAGCACGUUGAAUGCCCGAGUUCCGCAUGGCUGAUCACUCAAGUUAAGCAACAUUGCGCACGGUUGGUAUCUGGACGGGUGACCACUUGGGUAAUCGCGUGGUUUUUCUC